AUGACGACGAAGAUGGUCCGCCUGCGCAGCUCCGACGGCCAGGAGCUCGAGGUGAUGGAGGAGGCGAUCGCCGCCGCGUCUAAGACGAUCAAGGACACGCUGGAGAAGGGCGGCGCCGCCGACGGUGCCAUCCCGGUCCCCGGCGUCAUCGGCCGGGUCCUCUCCCACGUCCUCGAGUACGUCAACAGGCACUUCUCCGACCCGGGCGCGGCGGCGGACCCCUUCGACCACAUCCCCAACUUCGACGACCCGUUCAAGGCGUUCGACGCACUAGUGCAGAACCGGUCAAUAGCACCGGUUCGUAAGGCCCUUUAG
rnacentral:rRNA from 1 species